CGCUGGUUGCCAUGGCAGCAGACCUGAUUCAGGAUUUAACAUGGACCAGGAGAGUCGAUGAAACUGUUUCCUUCAGCUGUCGAGGAACUGACCGGUGUGACGAUGAUUAUAUUUACUGGUACCAGAAGAAAGACACAGACACAUUCACAGUGAUUCUAGAUAUAAACAGAAAUACUGGUGACAUAGAUUCAAGAUACAGCAAUCAUCCUCAGAAAGAUGAUUUCUCAGCUGUGAGAAAACAGAACGGCUGGGAGUUGCAGAUCCAGAAAGUUAACACCUCUCAUUCAGCCACCUACUACUGCUCCUGUUAUAAGAGCGGCGCCCACAGUGAGAAAUGA